rnacentral:rRNA from 1 species
GAUGAACGCUGGCGGCGUGCUUAACACAUGCAAGUCGAACGGAAAGGCUCCUGCUUGCAGGGGUACUCGAGUGGCGAACGGGUGAGUAACACGUGGGUGAUCUGCCCUGCACUUCGGGAUAAGCCUGGGAAACUGGGUCUAAUACCGGAUAGGACCACAUUUUGGAUGGUGUGGUGGAAAGUUUUUCGGUGUGGGAUGAGCUCGCGGCCUAUCAGCUUGUUGGUGGGGUAAUGGCCUACCAAGGUGUCGACGGGUAGCCGGCCUGAGAGGGUGUACGGCCACAUUGGGACUGAGAUACGGCCCAGACUCCUACGGGAGGCAGCAGUGGGGAAUAUUGCACAAUGGGCGCAAGCCUGAUGCAGCGACGCCGCGUGGGGGAUGACGGCCUUCGGGUUGUAAACUCCUUUCGCUAGGGACGAAGCGUUUUUGUGACGGUACCUGGAGAAGAAGCACCGGCUAACUACGUG